CGCGUAGGCGGCUUAUCAAGUCAGGCGUGAAAGCCCCGGGCUUAACCUGGGAACUGCGCUUGAGACUGUUAGGCUUGAGUUUCGGAGAGGUAGGUGGAAUUCCCAGUGUAGAGGUGAAAUUCGUAGAUAUUGGGAAGAACACCGGUGGCGAAGGCGGCCUACUGGACGAAUACUGACGCUGAGGCGCGAAAGCGUGGGGAGCAAAACA
rnacentral:rRNA from 1 species